UCCGUUAUGGUGUAGUGGCUAACAUUAUUGCCUCCCAUGCUUCUUUGCAGGGUUCAAUUCCCUGUAACGGAA